rnacentral:rRNA from 1 species
CAGGGAAUCUUGCGCAAUGGGCGAAAGCCUGACGCAGCGACGCCGCGUGGGGGAUGAAGGUUCUAGGAUUGUAAACCCCUUUUGCUGGGGAAGAAGAUCUGACGGUACCCAGCGAAUAAGGCCCGGCCAACUACGUGCCAGCAGCCGCGGUAAAACGUAGGGGCCAAGCGUUGUCCGGAAUUAUUGGGCGUAAAGGGUGCGUAGGCGGCCCGGUCAGUCUCGUGUGAAAGCUCCCGGCCCAACCGGGAGAGGUCACGGGAUACUGCCGGGCUUGAGGAUAGCAGAGGAAGGUGGAAUUCCCGGUGUAGCGGUGAUAUGCGUAGAUAUCGGGAGGAACACCUGUGGCGAAAGCGACCUUCUGGGCUAUUUCUGACGCUGAGGCACGAGAGCGUGGGGAGCGAACCGGAUUAGAUACCCCCGUAGUCC